rnacentral:rRNA from 1 species
GAUGAACGCUGGCGGCGUGCCUAAUACAUGCAAGUCGAGCGACCAGACGAGGAGCUUGCUCCUCUGACGUUAGCGGCGGACGGGUGGGUAACACGUGGAUAACCUACCUAUUAUACUGGGAUAACUUCGUGAAACCGGAGCUACUACCGGAUAAUAUAUUGUACCGCAUGGUUCAAUAGUUAAAGACGCUUUUGCUGUUACUUUUAGAUGGAUCCGCGCCGCCUUAUCUAGUUGGUAAGGUAACGCCUUACCAAGGCAACGAUGCGUAGCCGACCUGAGAGAGUGAUAGGCCACACUGGAACUGAGACACGGUCCAGACUCCUCCGGGAGGCAGCAGUAGGGAAAAUUCCGGAAUGGGCGAAAACCUGACGGAGAAACGCCGCGUGAGUGAUAAAGGUCUUCGGAUCGUAAAACUCUGUUAUUAGGGAAGAAAAAAUGUGUAAGUAACUAUGCACGUCUUGACGGUACCUAAUCAGAAAGCCACGGCUAACUACGUG